GUUUUAUCUUGACGAAUUGUAGUUUAAAGAAGUGUUUUCUGUUGAAGUUUUGGUAAAAGUUCUUUGGAAUAGGACAUCAUAGAGGGUGAGAAUCCCGUAUUUGACCAUUAUUUUCAGCUGUGUGAUACACUUUCAAAGAGUCGGAUUGUUUGGGAAUGCAGUCCAAAAUGGGUGGUAAAUUUCAUCUAAAGCUAAAUAUUGGCGAGAGACCGAUAGCGAACAAGUACCGUGAGGGAAAGAUGAAAAGAACUUUGAAAAGAGAGUUAAACAGUACGUGAAAUUGUCAAAAGGGAAGCGUUUGACACCAGUGUUGUUUUCUCGAAAAUCAAUUAAAAAAAGUUGGAUUUUGUGUUGUAUUGACCUUAACAGCUUUCUGCACUCUUUUCCUGCUUUUUUU
rnacentral:rRNA from 1 species